UACGGAGGGUGCGAGCGUUGUUCGGAAUUAUUGGGCGUAAAGGGCGCGUAGGCGGUGCGGUAAGUCACCUGUGAAAUCUCCUGGCUCAACUGGGAGCUUGCAGGCGAAACUGCCGUGCUGGAGUGUGGGAGAGGUGCGUGGAAUUCCUGGUGUAGCGGUGAAAUGCGUAGAUAUCAGGAGGAACACCUGUGGCGAAAGCGGCGCACUGGACCACAACUGACGCUGAGGCGCGAAAGCUAGGGGAGCAAACAGG
rnacentral:rRNA from 1 species